rnacentral:rRNA from 1 species
AUUGAACGCUGGCGGCAUGCCUUACACAUGCAAGUCGAACGGCAGCACGGGAGCAAUCCUGGUGGCGAGUGGCGAACGGGUGAGUAAUAUAUCGGAACGUGCCCAGUCGUGGGGGAUAACGCAGCGAAAGCUGUGCUAAUACCGCAUACGAUCUAAGGAUGAAAGCGGGGGAUCGCAAGACCUCGCGCGAUUGGAGCGGCCGAUAUCAGAUUAGCUAGUUGGUGGGGUAAAGGCCCACCAAGGCGACGAUCUGUAGCUGGUCUGAGAGGACGACCAGCCACACUGGAACUGAGACACGGUCAAGACUCCUACGGGAGGCAGCAGUGGGGAAUUUUGGACAAUGGGCGCAAGCCUGAUCCAGCAAUGCCGCGUGCAGGAUGAAGGCCUUCGGGUUGUAAACUGCUUUUGUACGGAACGAAACGGCCCUUUCUAAUACAGGGGGCUAAUGACGGUACCGUAAGAAUAAGCACCGGCUAACUACGUGCCAGCCGCCGCAGUAACAC